rnacentral:rRNA from 1 species
AAAUUGAAGAGUUUGAUCAUGGCUCAGAUUGAACGCUGGCGGCAGGCCUAACACAUGCAAGUCGAACGGUAACAGGAAGCAGCUUGCUGCUUUGCUGACGAGUGGCGGACGGGUGAGUAAUGUCUGGGAAACUGCCCGAUGGAGGGGGAUAACUA